AUUGAACGCUGGCGGCAUGCUUUACACAUGCAAGUCGAACGGCAGCACGGGGGCAACCCUGGUGGCGAGUGGCGAACGGGUGAGUAAUGCAUCGGAACGUACCCAGUCGUGGGGGACAACGUAGCGAAAGUUACGCUAAUACCGCAUACGACCUGAGGGUGAAAGCAGGGGAUCGCAAGACCUUGCGCGAUUGGAGCGGCCGAUGUCAGAUUAGCUAGUUGGGGGGGUAAAGACUCACCAAGGCGACGAUCUGUAGCGGGUCUGAGAGGAUGGUCCGCCACACUGGGACUGAGACACGGCACAGACUCCUACGGGAGGCAGCAGUGGGGAAUUUUGGACAAUGGGGGCAACCCUGAUCCAGCCAUGCCGCGUGCGGGAAGAAGGCCUUCGGGUUGUAAACCGCUUUCGGACAGAAAGAAAUCGCAUGGGCUAAUACCCUGUGUGGAUGACGGUACUGUAAGAAGAAGCACCGGCUAACUACGUGCCAGCAGCCGCCGUAACAC
rnacentral:rRNA from 1 species